AGAGCGUAAAAUCAAAGACUAUCGAAUGAAAUAUAAUCUCGUUGCUCCGAGACUCCAACGCGAGCUACCUGAGACCCGGUGAAUUUUCUACCGGAUAUGGAUGUGCUUUAAGGAAUUCCAGUGUUAAUUGUACUUUCUGGGGACUUUGAGUGAUUCACCACCCUUUGAACAAAUGUAUUUUGAGAUCCUCAAAGGAAUCCUAGAUUUGUCAAGAAGCCAUGUUUUAAUUGCUGCCCAUCAAAUAGUACUGUGUCUUGCAUGUGUAAAUUGUAAGUAUUCAGUGUCUUAGUAUAAAUCGUUAGUAUUUUGAAGCAUGAUGUUACAGUUAGUUUAUUAUGUCUCCCCUCUUCCAGGCGGAUCGAGACAUUGUUUUUGUAUUUUCUGUCUGUCCAUCUGUCUGUCACAAAUUCUU